AUGGUGGCAGGCUACGGCGGUGAUGACGAGGCCGUUGGCCAGGAGGGCAGCCAGGUAGGUGCCCAGGAAGAGCGAGAAGUGCAAGAGCUGCAGCUCCCGCAUGUCCGCCAACGGCAGGAGGAGGAACCCCUUGAAGGAGCUGCUGUUGGACACUUUGCUCUCUCCGGACACGGAGGACUGUCCAAGGAAGAAGACGCUGACAACUCAGGACAGACAGCAAAACUUUCCCAUGACUUCCCCGCAGCUGAAGAGACGGACGUGGUUCAAGACCCAGCUUCUGGGUCCUCUGGGAGGUCCACCUCCAUGGGCUCCUCCCCUUCCUCUGGGGGAGUCCAUUUCCAUGGGCUCCUAUUCCUCCAAGAGGUCCACCUGCAUGGCCACCUUCUCCCUCUCCUCUGGAGGAGUUCCUUUCCAUGGGCUCCUCUUCCUCUGGGAGGUCCACCUCCAUGGGCUCCUCCUCCUCGUCCUCCAUGGGGGUCCAUUUCCAUCGGCUCCUCCUCAGGGGGAGGUCCACUUCCAUGGCCGCCUCUUCCUCCUCUUCUGCAGGGGUGCACCUCCAUAGGCUCCUCCUCCUCCUCUUCUGCAGGGGUCCACCUCCACGGGCUCCUCUUCCUCUAGGAGGUCCACCUCCAUGGGCUCCAGGGUGGCCAGGUGGUUGCAUCCACCUUCCUCUUGGUGCACAGCGCCGCCUUUCACCUCUUCCACGGCCGCUGGCUCAGGGCUGGAGCCCCCGUGGAGGGCAGGAGCGGAGAGCUCGAUCUCAGGCCCUCUCCCACCGCCAGGCCUGGCACCAACUCUGGAACAGGGGCGCUGAGGUCACUGCUGACACGGCGGCGUGCAACUCCUCCCACCUGUCAGGUCGUUAUCAGACGUUAAUUGGUACAGGUCCCAGGAUUACCCCCGGGGUGCCCUGUCUGGGAGGAGCCUGAUGGGGCUGCUCCGCAACGGAGGAAGACUAAGAAGAAGGUGACCCCAAUGCAGUCAGAGCCGUUCCUUCAGGUCCACCUCCACGGGCUCCUCCUCCUCCGAGGGGGUCCACCUCCAUGGGCUCCUCCUCUGGGGGAGUCCAUGUCCAGGGGUUCCUCUUCCUCUGCGAGGUCCACCUCCAUGGGCGGCUCCUCCUCCUCCUCCAGGCCCACGGCAUCUGAGCAGGGCCAGGGAGGUGACUGCGGCCAGGUCCACCAACGGUGCCAGGCGAGAAGUCACAUCUGGGCUCUACGAAGUAGAGAGCAUCUUCCGGAUCGUUGGAUCUUCACUAGCUGGUGGACUGCUCCAAGCUGCUGCUGGCCGGUUGGCGUAGAGAGCUGCUGGCCAAAUAUUCUUGUGUAAGUUGAAUUUUGCUAUUUUUGUGAGCUACAUAGGCCUGGUAGGCGAUGGAAUGGCCUAAAAAAAAACAUGACUUGGGGGUCUUUGCCCGAGGUAUUACCGUGCGCUCAACAACCCUUGGAAUACGUCAAGCUCUCCGAAGAAGAGCGACGACGCGCCCCGUCCGCUGAUCGCUCUUGCCGAAACCGCCGGCAGUCACACCGAGAUGGAAAGCCGCCGCCUGGAUCCUGUCCAACAGGCGAUAAACGACGGAUUCAGACGAAGGUCGAGGGCGGCAGUUUCUGCCAGUCCG
ensembl:lncRNA